UCAGGCUGAUAUUGCUCUAGGCACAAUUCUGGCUAGUUAUGGCUCUGUCCUAGAUUUCACAAAAGGAAUUAAAACCGCAGGAAUCUCGAGGUCAUCUAGCCAAUGCCUGCCCCCUUCACCCAGACAGGAUCAUAGCGAAAGAAUCACAGAAUUUUAGCCCAAGAGUCAGGAAGUUCUCCCGUGACUAACCUAAUUCCCUCCCACUGCAAUUUAAGUCCUUUUCCUUUUGGGCUGUUCUCAGUGAAAACAGAGAACAGCUGCUCAUCAUACUCACCCCCAUCCAGCCCUUGGCUUCUCAUCAAAAAGUCAUGAAAAGACAUAUAGUAUUAGAAGCACAAGUGUGUUAGAAAGGACCUUCAAGAUCAACUUAUGGACUCUUAAGAACCUGCUCAAUGCAAUGACCAACUACAUUCCAGAGGACUGAUAAGGAAACAAGCUACCCAUUUCUGGACAGAGAAGAGAUAGAGGCCAGAUGGAGAACACAUGCUCAAGGAUAGAAUGGAGAAGGAGAGAUCAGCAAUAGUUCCACCAGCUCCAAGAAAAAAGAAUAGGGUCACUGAAACAUUUCAAAGAAAAUGGACAGAAGAGAAGAGAAAGAAAUUCAGAAGCAACACAGAAAAGCAAGCCAGCUUUGAAAGUAAUAAGCCGAAUUUAUUAUAUACUUGUUCUUUUAAAGCAAUUCAUAUGUAAUACAGAUUUGCAGUUACAUAGACAAUCCUCUUUUUCUGUUCUAGUUUGUAUAUGCACAUGUUAAUGGGG